CUCCUGUUGAUGGCAGUAACGCACCAAAAACCUGUGCGCCAUUAAAUCUCAGAAGAAGAAGAAAAGGCGGAUCAACUGACGUGUUUCCGGAUUUUUCUUUCUUUAGUUGGAGGACCAUCGUGUGUGCAGUUGCUUCUUUGUCGUCUCUUUUAAGCAUAAUGGCAUUUCCUUGAAGUCUUCAUAGAACAUUCCUUUUGCCACCUUAAAUGAUAUGUAUGAAUGCCACCUAAGAGAUGCAUUUUUGUCACAACUGCUGCAAGAAUGAAGUAGAAGUUCCUACUUUGUUGAGGUGUCAAUCACCAAAUGUUAAUUUUGAGUAAGGCCAGAUCUAAUGACAGUAGUGAAUAUUACAUACUGGAUUGCCAUUUAACAUUUUUAUUUGUUGUUGCUGAAUGUGUUAUUGGUUGAAAUAUUGAGGAAUGUCUUGAUUAGAUUAAAACUGUUUUUGAAUUAAAAUAAUCAACUAAAGGUUUUUUUUUUUUUUUUUU